GGUGAUAGUCCCGUACACCAAAAUGCACAGGCUGUGAACUCGAAGAGUAGGGCGGGACACGUGGUAUCCUGUCUGAAUAUGGGGGGGACCAUCCUCCAAGGCUAAAUACUCCUGACUGACCGAUAGUGAACCAGUACCGUGAGGGAAAGGCGAAAAGAACCCCGGCGAGGGGAGUGAAAAAGAACCUGAAACCGUGUACGUACAAGCAGUGGGAGCACCUUCGGGUGUGACUGCGUACCUUUUGUAUAAUGGGUC
rnacentral:rRNA from 1 species